rnacentral:piRNA from 1 species
UAGUGGACUUGGUCGGGGUGAGUUGGU